rnacentral:lncRNA from 1 species
CUCAAAUUUGAGGGAGGUGAUGGAAGACAUUAACAGUUCAACAGGUUACUUAAAUAGUCACAGGAUACAAGACUAGACUAUUUUAAUUCAUUUUAAUAUAUUUGAUGGAAUUUGUAUGAGCUCACAGGACUGUGACAGCUCUUCACAGCAUUUCAGUCCUAGGUGCCACAUUUCCUACCACUGGCAUCAGUGGGAGCAGGACUGAAGUGCUCUUUAACACUUGGGGUAAAUUUCAGUCAAGCAGGACCAACACUGCAUUGCAGUCUGAACUGCACAAUGGAAAAGGCUGAACAAAUGUCUUUUUUUUCUUUGCAUAAUUGUGCUUUUCCCUCAGUAACCCGGCCAGCUACUAUGUUUGCUGCUGCAGGUUCAAACAUAGUAGGUUUUAUGCUGUCCAUGUAAAUGCACGCCUUCUUAAGAUGCUUCUUGUUUUAUUUAAUUGAACUCUAAUUAGUACCCCUGUUGAGCAUGCCCCGGUGGCUCCCAGUUCUGCUGCUCCUGCACCACAUGCUUCAGCACCUCAGCCUGCUCCUGCUGCUCCAAACACAGCCAGCCCGAUGGCAGCACCAGCCACCACCUCAGUAGUGCAAGAGGCUUUCUCAUCCUCCUUCCAAAGUUUCAACCGGCAUUCUUCCACCUCCAUCAGCUACCAGUCAAGGCAGAGAAACACAACCCAGUCAUAUACACCAAUGCCAAUUUCUGGAGGCUACAGUGAAAGUCCUGCUCCUUCUGCUGCUUCAAAAAUGAGAGUUGUUACUACUGCCAGCAUAAAGCCCUCUGUCUACCAGCCAGGUAAGGAGCCUUCAAAGUACUGAAAA